ensembl:lncRNA
UCUGUGCUCUAUUUUUAUCUUUUGGUCAUUUUAAAAUUGGGAUGAUGGUCUUUUUAUUGAUUUGUAGAUUUUUAUAUAUUAAGAAAAUAAGUCUUUUGCCAUAUGAAUUACAUAUUGUUUCCUUUAGUAUGUCCUGUGUUUAAAUUUUUUAUUUGGGGUUUUAUUAUUUAAGAUUUCUUUUAUUUUUAUGUAGUCAAAUUGUUCAGUCUUUUCUUUUGUGACUUCUAGGUUUGAGUCAUACUUAGAAGGGCAUCUCCCCUUCUUCCUCUGAGAUUAAAAAAAAAAUGAUGUCUAUGAUUCUUCCUAGUACUGUUAUGGCUAGUUAUGGUUUCAAUUUAUAUUUAAGUUUUUCUUCUAUAUGGAAUUACUUUUAUUGUAUUUGGGGGGGGUUAGUAUUUUUUUUAUUUUUAUGUAUUUCUUUUUGGCUGUGCUGGGUCUUCACUGCUGCAUGGGCUACUCUCUAGUUGCAAUUUGCAGCGUGUGAGGGCUUCAGUAGUUGCAGUAUGUGGGCUUAGUAGUUACAGCUCCCAGGCUCUAGAGCACAGGCUUAGUAGUUGUAGUACACAGGCUUAGCUGCUGUGCAGCAUGUGGGAUCUUCUCGGACCAGGGUUCAAAUUCAUGUCUCCUGCAUUGCCAGGUAGAUUCUUUACCACUGAGCCACUAGGGAAGCCCUGUUUUAUCUUAUUUUGGUGCAAGAUAUACCCAUGAAUCCAACUUACGUAUUUAUAGAUAGCUACCUAUUUGUCCUACAGAAUAGAGACAAUGUUUUCUUCAUGUCUGCAUCUUUAGUACCUAACAUAUUUCCUUGCUCAUUGUAGGUUGUAUAUAAAUGUUGUUUGAAUGAACAAGAUGAAUACUCUGCUUCUCUUAAAAUAUUUAGUACCUGCCUUACUGUGGUGGACAUACCUAAAAUGACCCCCAAUUUGUCAUACCAUGUAUAAUCCUCUCCCCUUGAGUGCAGGUAGAACCUGUCACUAGAUUCUAAUCCAUAAAAUAUGGAAAAGGUGAUGGUAUGCAACUCUCAUGAUUACGUUAGGUUAUAUAAGGCUCUAUGUUAGCAAAUUAGAAUGAGAGAAACUCUCCUGCUAUUAGGUUGAUGCAAAAGUAAUUGUGGUUUUGCAUUGUUGAACUUUGCCAUUUAAUAUUGGAAUACAUUCUUAAAUAAACGUGGUUAUAUUA